rfam:Pseudomonas agarici strain NCPPB 2472 genome.
UGUGGCCGGGAAAGCUGUGACAGUCGAUCAUCGUAUGCUGCCGCAGUUGCUUCCCCGCCAUG